rnacentral:rRNA from 1 species
AUUCCAGCUCCAAUAGCGUAUAUUAAAGUUGUUGCAGUUAGAACGCUCGUAGUCGGAUUUCGGGGUGGGCCGGCCGGUCUGCCGAUGGGUAUGCACUGGUCGGCGCGUCCUUCCUUCCGGAGACCGUCCCUACUCUUAACUGAGCGGGGGCGGGAGACGGGACUUUUACUUUGAAAAAAUCAGAGUGUUUCAAGCAGGCAGCUCGCUCUUGCAUGGAUUAGCAUGGGAUAAUGAAAUAGGACUUUGGUGCUAUUUUGUUGGUUUCGAACACCGAAGUAAUGAUGAGAAGGGACAGUCAGGGGCACUCGUAUUCCGCCGAGAGAGGUGAAAUUCUCAGACCAGCGGAAGACGAACCACUGCGAAAGCAUUUGCCAGGGAUGUUUUCACUGAUCAAGAACGAAAGUUAGGGGAUCGAAGACGAUCAGAUACCGUCGUAGUCUUAACCAUAAACCAUGCCGACUAGGGAUCGGAGGAUGUUCACUUAUUGACUCCUUCGGCACCUUACGGGAAACUAAAGUCUUUGGGUUCCGGGGGGAGUAUGGUCGCAAGGCUGAAACUUAAAGGAAUUGACGGAAGGGCACCACCAGGUGUGGAGCCUGCGGCUUAAUUUGACGCAACACGGGGAAACUUACCAGGUCCAGACAUUGUGAGGAUUGACAGAUUGAGAGCUCUUUCUUGAUUUAAUGGGUGGUGGUGCAUGGCCGUUCUUAGUUGGUGGAGUGAUUUGUCUGGUUAAUUCCGUUAACGAACGAGACCUUAGCCUGCUAAAUAGUGACGCGAACACUUCGUUCGCGGCCACUUCUUAGAGGGACAACUUGUCUUCAACAAGUGGAAGUUUGAGGCAAUA